rnacentral:sRNA from 1 species
GAUGCUGGGAUUUCCUCAUCUUCCUCUUGUUUGUCUGUGUCUAUCUCUCUUACUUUUCAGACCUAAAAAAAAGGACAGUGCUGUGAAGCUGGACAGCCCCAGGCCCCUCUGCCCACGCUGCACCCAGCGCCACCAGCGCCCUGACCCCCGGACCUGCCGCUGCCGCUGCCGACGCCGCAGCUUCCUCCGUUGCCAAGGGCGGGGCUUAGAGCUCAACCCAGACACCUGCAGGUGCCGGAAGCUGCGAAGGUGACACAUGGCUUUUCAGACUCAGCAAGGUGACUUGCCUCAGAGGCUAUAUACCAGUGGGAGAACAAAGAGGAGCCUGGUAAAAAACAGCCAAGCCCCCAAGACCUCAGCCCAGGCAGAAGCUGCUCCAGGACCUGGGCCUCUCAGAGGGCUCUUCUGCCAUCCCUUGUCUCCCUAAGGCCGUCAUCAAACAGGACAGAGUUGGAAGAGGAGACUGGGAGGCAGCAAGGGGGUCAUAUACCAGCUCAGGGGAGAAUGGGGUACUGUCUCAGUUUCUAACCGCCCUGUGCAAGUAAGCAUCUUACAACUGGCUCUUCCUCCCCUCACUAAGAAGACCCAAACCUCUGCAUAAUGGGAUUUGGGCUUUGGUACAAGAACUGUGACCCCCAACCCUGAUAAAAGAGAUGGAAGGA